GAUGAACGCUGGCUACAGGCUUAACACAUGCAAGUCGAGGGGAAACGCCGGGGAAGCUUGCUUCCCCGGGCGUCGACCGGCGCACGGGUGAGUAACGCGUAUCCAACCUGCCUCUGACUGAGGGAUAACCCGUCGAAAGUCGGCCUAAUACCUCAUGGCAUCGUCUGCGGGCAUCCAACGACGAUUAAAGAUUUCAUCGGUCAGAGAUGGGGAUGCGUCUGAUUAGCUUGUUGGCGGGGUAACGGCCCACCAAGGCGACGAUCAGUAGGGGUUCUGAGAGGAAGGUCCCCCACAUUGGAACUGAGACACGGUCCAAACUCCUACGGGAGGCAGCAGUGAGGAAUGUUGGUCAAUGGGCGAGAGCCUGAACCAGCCAAGUAGCGUGCAGGAUGACGGCCCUAUGGGUUGUAAACUGCUUUUAUGCGGGGAUAAAGUGAGGGACGUGUCCUUCAUUGCAGGUACCGCAUGAAUAAGGACCGGCUAAUUCCGUG
rnacentral:rRNA from 1 species